rnacentral:lncRNA from 1 species
UUCCUCCCCUGACCAAAACAACCCUAGGCUUAAAAGUGCAGGUCAAAAUCUGCAAUUGAGGGAUGUUUUUUGAAAUUAACGAAUUUGGAAUUUGGGUUUUGAUGUCAUCUCAUCAAAACAUGUAACUAAGUUUACAAUUUAAAUAUCAAUUAUUGAUUUAGGGGCGAGCAUCAUAUCAUAUCAGACCGAAAUUAAAUUGGAAAAGAAAUUUUAAGACCAA